CACAAUAAGAAAGAGGAGGACAAAUGCAAAGGCAGGUGGCAGGGGGAAGUCUGUCAGCAUUUUGUGUGGAAAUGGAAGUGGAAGGGUGUGGGAGAAAGGCUGACUGGUGCAGUGGAAGAAUCAGAUGAUGGCUUCGUCGGCUUCUGUUUCUGCUGUCACUAUUGUCAUGAUCACCAGCUCUUAUUUGUGGGACGCUGGGUCUUGUCAGGGUCCUUCUCAGGUACAGGUGUCUAUUCUCUCAUUUUCCAGGCCCACGGAUUUCUUCAAAAUAUAGGGCAUGUGAAGAGUCGCUUGGCCUGGGGGCCGGGAGAUCCUCCACCGCCUUGGAAGUUGAGAUCAGCCAGGCGCCAGGGGCGACCCAGGACAGAAGAUGAUUAUCUGCAGAUGAGAGGGAGGAAAUUCUUCUUUCCCCAGUUUUCUCUGCUAACAACACUGUGGGAUUCGCUGCCAGCGUGUAAUGCAGAAGUUGCAUACAAUGAGGAUAUCCCAUUCCACCACCUCAUGGCAUAAAUCAGUAUAGUCAGAGCAACAAAGAAUGAAUGAAACCCCUUCCUCAGAGGAGAACCUUUUGAAUGCUUUGCCACCAUUAUUUCUCAAAGCCAGCAUCCAGUAGCCAUGAUACCACUGGGGAGUCAGCCUACCACUGUGAUUUCUGUUCCUAAUAUAGAGAUGUUCAUCCUCAGAGGUCUGUAGUCUUCUGUGCAAAGUCCUCUGCCCUAUCAGCAUUAGAAUCUUAUGGUUUAAUACCACAUUGUGGCAAUGACAGUACCAAAUGUGCUAGAGUCAAUAUAUCAUCCAUCUACCUGAAUUAUGUAGAUUUGACCUAACAGUUAGAGUCAUAGUGAAAUGUUUUAUGGCAAAAGGAUAUGCGAUGACCAAUAGCCCAGUAUGUAUCUAAAGGAUAGAGGAUAACAAAUAUAAACUAGACAGCACAUUGUCUAAUCUGUGAGAGCAAGUAGAGAGAUAUAGUCAGGGCAGAAGCUUCAGCAUCAGACCUUUGCUGCCACUUUCAUAAAGAACCCAGAAAAACGUCCUUGGUUCUGUUGAAGCCGUCCUUCACUAUACACAGUUGAACUUUUCAUUCUCAUGUGUUAAAAUGAAAACAUAAGCAAAAUGUAUGUAGAUGAUCCUUUAGGGUCAUCAUAGAAUAAGUUUCAUGUAUUAACACAUUUGUAGAAUAAUUUACCUAACCUCUAUUACUAAAACCAUCAGAAUUGCUUUUGGUGUGUGUCUAACAUUUAUCAUUCUGUGUAUGCCAUAGGUACUUCUCUUCUGGGGUGCUCCAUUGACUAUAGAAUGACAAUCUUUUCAAACUCUUCUAUGAUUUAUUAUAAUUCUACUUUGUGGCUAUCUCACAACCGAGAAGAAAGAGACUUCUCAAGUCAGGGGACAGGGACUCAUGACUUUCCUGAUAAUUGAGGUUUCCUAAAAACACAAUUUCUGUGGAAGAGAUAGCUAGCUGUCUGCCAAAAUUCAUGCUCUUCUUCCAUGGUGAGAAUUGUUGAAUUACCUCUGGUGGAGAGACAACCCUGAACAAGAAAAGUGUUUGGAAUCUGCAUCAGUGAAAAAUAAACUUAAGUUAAGCCAUUGAGAUUUGUGUUAA
rnacentral:lncRNA from 12 species